AACAGACUUGUGGUCACUUUUUACCUGAACAUGGGAGGGACGGAAAGAACCAGGGUCCAUGAUGGCACUGCUGAGUCACAGGCUCACUCUCCUCUGCGUAUCCAGUUGUGUGAGCCUUUAUAAUCUGUUGAUUAUAUCAUUGUUUAACUAAGGUCUCUGUUA